GAUACGUUUCCUGCUCAAAAUCUCAAACUUGCUACUGCUCAGUUUAUUGCUUUGAGGUGUCGUUGAUAUUCUGGAUAUUUGGAGUAUCCAAUUGGGUUUUCUCUAUUUUUGGUUGAGAGCAACAAGUUGAAAUAGAGCACUGAGGAGUGUUCGGAUAGAAAAUAGUUUUGAAAUUUGAAAUGCUUGCUUCUUAUAUAAGGAAGAGCUAGAGCGAAUGCUGUGCAGAAAAGAGUACCUAAAACUUGCAGGAGUGCUAUCAAUUCUGCUUUGUUUAAGCAUUGGCCAAAGAACACCGAGACUGAAAAUGGGAUUUUACAUGGCGGUUCCAUGACUUUUUGACACACGAGUUCAGAAAGCAUAUAGGUUUUCCGAAAUUCCAAGCAGAUCAAUAAAACAAACAAGACAAAAGGUAUGUAAUUAACUUAUCUAUCAUCAGUGGAGGAAGACCGCUGAGGCAGCUCCUGCUAUUUUGACAGAACAGGUUCUCUUGACAGCCACUACAAUCCCUUGCGUUCACCUUAUUAAGAAGACUUCGAUGAUCACUCACCAAAAACAUGUUGAAGAAGAUUGGCCAAAAGUAGAUGGAAUUAUGCUACAGAUCAUAAUGAUGGUGCACACAGUUCAAAUUUGAGACACCCAACCUUUAAAAAACGAUAUCCAGACCAAAGUCCGCCUAUGCAGUGUCUGGCAAGCAGAAGUGUUCAAGCCUGUUGAGAAAUAUGACCUUCAAUUGUAUUACAACCUAUAUAGAAAAAUAUUUCUUUUUUAGGCUAUUUUUGUUGGCAGUAGUCAAUUUUGUAGCAGAUAACAAAACAGCUUUGUUCGUUUAGGAGAUCAAUUUUUUGCAAAAUGUAAAUAGAACAUUGGUUAAGAUACCAGCUUCUACUUGGGAUCUCUACUUGCAUAAUAUGUAACUGUAUAAAAAUUCAUAAACUAUGACUAUCAAACUUGGC
rnacentral:lncRNA from 1 species